rnacentral:rRNA from 1 species
UGGGGAAUCUUGCACAAUGGGGGCAACCCUGAUGCAGCGACGCCGCGUGAGCGAUGAAGCCCUUCGGGGCGUAAAGCUCUUUCGACCGGAACGAUAAUGACGGUACCGGGAGAAGAAGCUGCGGCUAACUACGUGCCAGCAGCCGCGGUAAUACGUAGGCAGCAAGCGUUGUUCGGAGUUACUGGGCGUAAAGAGUGCGUUGGCGGUUUUCUAAGUUCGGUGUGAAAUCUCCCGGCUUAACUGGGAGGGUGCGCCGAAGACUGGGAAGCUGGAGUGUGGGAAAGGCAGGCGGAAUUCCUGGUGUAGCGGUGAAAUGCGUAGAUAUCAGGAGGAACACCGGCGGUGUAGACGGCUUGCUAGACCAUAACUGACGCUGAGGCACGAAAGCGUGGGUAGCAAAC